rnacentral:rRNA from 1 species
GGUUUGACAUAGCAGUGGUAGGGAAGAGAAUCGGACCGACCCUUCGGGAGCUGUUACAGGUGUUGCAUGGCUGUCGUCAGCUCGUGUCGUGAGAUGUUCGUUAAGUCCGCUAACGAGCGCAACCCGCGUUGUGUGUUAUAUGUGUCACACAAUACCGCCGGUAUUAAGCCGGAGGAAGGUGCGGAUGACGUCAAGUCAGCAUGACCUUUAUAUCCAGGGCUACACACACGCUACAAUGGACAGUACAACAGGUUGCCAAGCCGCGAGGCGGAGCCAAUCCUCUAAAGCUGUCCUCAGUUCAGAUUGCAGGCUGCAACUCGCCUGCAUGAAGUUGGAGUUGCUAGUAACCGCAGGUCAGCUAUACUGCGGUGAAUACGUUCCCGGGGAUU